AUUGAACGCUGGCGGCAUGCUUUACACAUGCAAGUCGAACGGUAACAGGUUAAGCUGACGAGUGGCGAACGGGUGAGUAAUGCAUCGGAACGUGCCCGAUCGUGGGGGAUAACGCAGCGAAAGCUGCGCUAAUACCGCAUACGAUCUGAGGAUGAAAGCGGGUGACCGUAAGGCCUCGCGCGAUCGGAGCGGCCGAUGUCAGAUUAGGUAGUGGGUGGGGUAAAGGCCCACCAAGCCGACGAUCUGUAGCUGGUCCGAGAGGACGACCAGCCACACUGGGACUGAGACACGGCCCAGACUCCUACGGGAGGCAGCAGUGGGGAAUUUUGGACAAUGGGCGAAAGCCUGAUCCAGCAAUGCCGCGUGCAGGAAGAAGGCCUUCGGGUUGUAAACUGCUUUUGUACGGAGCGAAAAGGUCCUUUCUAAUACAAGGGGCUCAUGACGGCACCGUAAGAAUAAGCACCGGCUAACUACGUGCCAGCAGCCGCCGUAAAAC
rnacentral:rRNA from 1 species